rnacentral:rRNA from 1 species
CACGGAGUUAGCCGGGGCUUAUUCUCCCGGUACUGUCAUUAUCAUCCCGGGUAAAAGAGCUUUACAACCCUAGGGCCUUCAUCACUCACGCGGCAUUGCUGGAUCAGGGUUUCCCCCAUUGUCCAAUAUUCCCCACUGCUGCCUCCCGUAGGAGUCUGGGCCGUGUCUCAGUCCCAGUGUGGCUGAUCAUCCUCUCAGACCAGCUAAGGAUCGUCGCCUUGGUAGGCCUUUACCCCACCAACUAGCUAAUCCUACGCGGGCUCAUCCAAAGGCGAUAAAUCUUUGGUCUUGCGACAUCAUACGGUAUUAGCACCCCUUUCGGAGAGUUAUUCCGUACCUUUGGGCAGAUUCCCACGCGUUACGCACCCGUGCGCCACUAGAUCCGAAGAUCUCGUUCGACUUGCAUGUGUUAGGCAUGCCGCCAGCGUUCGUUCUGAGCCAGGAUCAAACUC